UUUAUUAUGACAGAAUAGUGUAUUAAUUUUAGAAAUUAAAUAAAUAUAAUUAAA
rnacentral:tRNA from 1 species